rnacentral:rRNA from 1 species
UAAGGAAUCUUCCACAAUGGGGGCAACCCUGAUGGAGCAACGCCGCGUGCAGGAUGAAGGCCCUCGGGUCGUAAACUGCUUUUAUGAGUGAAGAAUAUGACGGUAACCCAUGAAUAAGCACCGGCUAACUACGUGCCAGCAGCCGCGGUCAUACGUAGGGUGCAAGCAUUAUCCGGAGUGACUGGGCGUAAAGAGUUGCGUAGGCGGUUAGUAAAGCGAAUAGUGAAACCUGGUGGCUCAACCAUUCAGACUAUUAUUCGAACUCACUAACUCGAGAGUGGUAGAGGUAACUGGAAUUUCUUGUGUAGGAGUGAAAUCCGUAGAUAUAAGAAGGAACACCAAUGGCGUAGGCAGGUUACUGGACCAUUUCUGACGCUAAGGCACGAAAGCGUGGGGAGCGAA